CAGUUUCAAUUUUUGUAUGUUUCAGGGUCGGUUCAUCAUGGGCAACAAGACAGCCCGCACAGUGACAUUCUUCUACACCAUCCUCCUACAUAGUCUCGUCUUCCUGGUGCUGUACAAGGUGGCCCACACCGAGUCCUGUAAGAGAGACAUGGCGGCUGACUGUCAUGAGAAGUUUGCUGAGCACAUGUUGAAGGCACAUGGGACACAUCACCAAUGAGGACUGACCCCUACACUGACCACUGGAACUACUGUACACGUCGACUGACCCGCCAGCAGCGUUACACCAGGCUUACCAAGCCGUUCAGUGAUCAGUGGCCGGUCUCACAUCAACAAAGACAUUAACUACGUAACGCUUGCCGUGUAACACAAUUUGAAGAAGGACCUACAUUUACUAAUAUUUCCAUAGGAAAUAAUCAAAACUUUAAUAGUGUCAUACUAGACUACAUAACAUAACUUAUAUCUGUACACUUCAUACAGUACUGAUUUUAUAUCUUUUAUUUCUUUCUACACAGCUAUUUGCCAGCUGUGAAUGAAAAUUGAAUUGUUUAAACAAUAUUCUAUAUAUUUAUUUUGCUACGUAUAUUUGGGGGACAUCAUUGGGUCUUGUAUGUCGAAAAUAUCAAUGAAAAUGACAUUUCUUAUGGCAUCAAAAUUGAACCACAGAAAUGAUGAAAUGAAGAUUUAUCUUGAUAAUUAAAACAUGUCACCUUUUACUAUGUAGGUGGCUUUAGCACAUAGGACACACCUUUUUCAUGCAAUGGAAUUCUAUUUCUGGACACUACUGUAUUGUAUUCUUACAAGUGUUUUUGGAUCACACUGUCAAGUCAUUUGGUUAUAAAGUUUUGGCGAAAUAUUCCUGGUAAUUACACCAAUUGUCAGUCAGCAAAGCCUUUAUAACUCUUGGGUUCUUCACUCCGUAUGUACUCGUCAGGAGAGGGAGGCUAGUACAACUGUAAAACAAAAAUAAACCCCUACAACUGUACGCAGUAUGUAACAAUACUUCUGAAAUAUUUCCCGGAGAAUCAGUUUUUAAUUACUGUUGUAAAAUUAACAGUCUGUGUUAACCUGCUGGAUAGGUAUACUUUGUAUUGGGGACCAACAUGUUAAAAAUGACAUACAUUAUAUAUUUAUACCUGCAAAACACAUUAUAUACAGUAAAUCAUUUCACUUUGACAUUUUAGUUUACAUAACUGAAAAAAGUUAUUUUCAAGAUUACAAAAGGAAUCGUUUAGUUCUUAAAGCUUUUAUUUUUAUCUGUUAAUGAUGUCCGAUGGAAAAAAGUUCAUCUGAUCAAGAAACGCAUUUUAUGUAACAUUUUGAGAAUUUCUCAAAAAGUUCUUUCCUAAAGAAAGAGGAAUGCUUUGUUUUCUAUGUUGCAUGAUGGGAUGGUAGAGGGCUACUUGUGAUAAUUUUUUAUACUCAGAAUUACUUGUGACGGAGGGAGAAUCAAAGACUUGUGGGAAAGGAUUGUAAUAUUGUACAGGUUUUUUAAAGAAAAGGUGGAAGUAUUGGUUAUUUUAAUGUUUUUAAUAAACAUCUUGAGGCUACCAACAGGUUUUGUUUUUAUUUCACUUAUACAGAUCGUAGAUAAGAGAUUGUCUCCCUUACACUGUAUAUAUCACAACUGGACAUGCACAUCUAGCUCUUCAUUUUGUUAACCACAUUACAGUUUAAUCAGUUGCACAGAGUUUAUUCCUUUAUGAAAUAGAGAUGGACCUACAGAUUUAUUUUUUAUUUUUUUGGGGGGGAGGGGUUAUGUCUUAAAGAUGGAGUUUCCUAGGAAAAACCCCAGACCUGCGGCCAGUACCCGACGACUCCCCCAAGUAAGCCUCGAACAUGCAACCCAGUGGCAAGGUACAGUACCUGGCGACUGCCCCACGUAGGCCUCGAAGCCCUGACCCACUGGUGGAGGGCUAGUGGUAACUACUCGGCCACAGCAGCCCUUUAAUUGAUGUUGCUUUCUUGGUCAGUGUUAUAAUUAGUGUGCAUGAACAAACAUGUCCCCAGAUCUAUCUAGCUCCUAAAAAUAUGUUUCAAUGACGGUUUUUGGUAUCAUUUGGGUCAAUACACUUUUAAACCAGUCAGAGAAAGAUGUUUUGCCAAAAAGACAGACUCCAGAACAUAGUUCUAUAACAGAAGGUUGACAAAAAGACAGACUCCAGAACAUAGUUCUAUAACAGAAGGUUGACAAAAUCUUUUGACAAAUCUGACCUUGAAAUUAGAUUUUUAAUCAACUUUAAUCACUUAGUCCAGGCAUUGCUCAAGUUAUUUUAAUUAAGUUCUGCACAAAUCUUGAACCAUUUCCUGAUCCCAGAGCCACUAGAUGGAUGUAAAAGUGAUAGGACAGCUACUUGUGAGCCAAACUCUAUUGUUUACAGCUGUCCUGUAGGUAUUGAUACUGAACAAACAACAGUUACAUGUGAGACAGACUCUAUUGUCUACAGCUGUCCUGUAGGUAUUGAUACUGAACAAACAACAGUUACAUGUGAGACAGACUCUAUUGUCUACAGCUGUCCUGUAGGUAUUGAUACUGAACAAACAACAGUUACAUGCAUAUAUUGUUUAAUACAGUUUUAUCAGUUGAGGAGUGGGAUCACAGAAAUCAUAACAAGUUCAUCAUUUAACACAUAACAGGCAUAAUCUGUUCUAUUAAGCAAAUAAAUAAA
rnacentral:lncRNA from 1 species